rnacentral:rRNA from 1 species
GAAUUCACUAGUGAUUCAGGCCUAACACAUGCAAGUCGAACGGUUAAAGCCCCUUCGGGGGUGUAUAAAGUGGCGAACGGCUGAGUAACACGUGGGCAACCUACCUCUUGCUCUGGGAUAGCCUCGAGAAAUCGUGGGUAAUACCGGAUACUCCGUAACCGUCGCAUGGCGGAUACGGGAAAGCGCAUACGGCAAGAGAUGGGCCCGCGGCCUGUUAGCUUGUUGGUGGGGUAACGGCCUACCAAGGCUAUUAUGGGUAGCUGGGUUGAGAGACCGACCAGCCAGAUUGGGACUGAGACACGGCCCAGACUCCUACGGGAGGCAGCAGUGGGGAAUCUUGCACAAUGGGCAAAAGCCUGAUGCAGCGACGCCGCGUGCGGGAUGAAGGCACUGUGGGUUGUAAACCGCUUUCAGCAGGGACGAGGCCGCAAGGUGAC